rnacentral:ncRNA from 1 species
AUUGGAGCUAUGAGAUAGUACCAUAAGGGAAUGAUGAAAAACAUUUUAAAAGUACAAAACAGCAAGGAUUACCCGUUUUACCUUUUGUAUAAUUAAUUAGCUAGAAAUAGCUUAACAAAAAGAACUUAAACUAAGCCCCCCAGAAACCAGACGAGCUACCUAUGAACAAUCUACAGGAUCAACUUAUCUAUGUCGCAAAAUAGUGAGAAGAUUUAUAGGUAGCGGUGAAAAGCCUAACAAGCCUGGUGAUAGAUAGCUGGUUACCCGAAAACAGAAUUUUAGUUCAACUUUAAAUUUACCUAAAAAAACCCUAUAAUUUUAAUGUAAAUUUAAAAUAUAAUCUAAAAAGGUACAGCUUUUUAGAAAAGGGAUACAACCUUAGAGAGUAAAUAUCAAUAUUACCAUAGUUGGCCUAAAAGCAGCCAUCAAUUGAGAAAGCGUUCAAGCUCAACAAUCAAUCUCACUUGAUUCCAACAAUAUUCAAUCAACUCCUAAUUUUAUACUGGGUUAAUCUAUUUAAAUAUAGAAACAACAAUGCUAAUAUGAGUAACAAAAAUUAUUUCUCCCUGCAUAAGCUUAUAUUAGAAACAGAUAAUCCACUGAUAGUUAACAAGAUAAGUAUUUUAUUUUUGGAUUAAUUUUAUCAAUUCCAUUGUUAACCCAACACAGGGAUGCAUCCACAGAAAGAUUGAAAGAAGUAAAAGGAACUCGGCAAACACAAACCCCGCCUGUUUACCAAAAACAUCACCUCCAGCAUCUCCAGUAUUGGAGGCACUGCCUGCCUAGUGACAUCUGUUCAACGGCCAUGGUAUCCUGACCGUGCAAAGGUAGCAUAAUCAUUUGUUCUCUAAAUAAGGACUUGUAUGAAUGGCUACACGAGGGUUUAACUGUCUCUUACUUCCAAUCAGUGAAAUUGACCUUCUGGUGAAGAGGUGGGAAUAAAACAAUAAGAGGAGAAGACCCUAUGGAGCCUUAAUUAAUUAACCCAAAUACAUGGAUAUAACUAAGCUACUAGGCAUAAUGUAUCACCAUUUUUAUGGGUUAACAAUUUAGGUUGGGGUGAUCUCGGAAAAUAAAAAAACUCCCGAGUGAUAAAAAUCUAGACUGACCUGUCAAAAUACUAUAUAAUUUAUUGAUCCAAUAAUUUUUGAUCAAUGGAAUAAGUUACCCUAGGGAUAACAGCGCAAUCCUAUUCAAGAGUCCAUAUCGAUAAUAGGGUUUAUGACCUUGAUGUUGGAUCAGGACAUCCUAAUGGUGCAUUAGCUAUUAAGGGUUUGUUCAACGAUUAAAGUCCUACGUGAUCUGAGUUCAAGACCGNNNNNNNNNNAUAAAAUAACUCCCGAGUGAUAAAAAUCUAGACUGACCUGGCACAAUACUAUAUAAUUAUUGAUCCAAUAAUUUUUGAGUCGAUGGAAUAAGUUACCCUAGGGAUAACUGCGCGCUCCUAUUC